rnacentral:misc_RNA from 1 species
GAUGAAGAACGCAGCGAAAUGCGAUACGUAAUGUGAAUUGCAAAUUCAGUGAAUCAUCGAGUCUUAGAACGCACAUUGCGCCCCCUGGUAUUCCGGGGGGCAUGCCUGUCCGAGCGUCAUUGCUGCCCUCAAGCACGGCUUGUGUGUUGGGCCCCGUCCUCCGAUCCCGGGGGACGGGCCCGAAAGGCAGCGGCGGCACCGCGUCCGGUCCUCGAGCGUAUGGGGCUUUGUCACCCGCUCUGUAGGCCCGGCCGGCGCUUGCCGAUCAACCCAAAUUUUUAUCCAGGUUGACCUCGGAUCAGGUAGGGAUACCCGCUGAACUUAAGCAUAUCAAUAAGCGGAGGA